CAAUUGUCGCCCCUCUCUCCUACUUCCCACUUUGAUCAUCCACUUCCCCCAUUUUCCCAUUUUCUUUCAUUUUUUUUGUUUCUUCCAUUUUCAUUGCUGCCAAACUUUAUUCUGUCGAUUCUUUUACUUCUGUUUUUUUUUUGCAUCUUCACUUGUUUUGAAGUUUCAUCUUUGUUGAUCCGUGCUGUCGUUUAUUUCUGUUUUCCUUUUGUGUGGGUUGUGUAAUUAAGGCGUUCCAGAUUAGUACAAUAUUUGGACAGUGAAAAUCGAGAGGCGCACCUUCCUUCGAUCACAUGAGUGUGUUGAAACCUCUGCUAUAAAGGCAUGUGCAUUGGGGUGGGAUAAUUAUGUGACGGAGGAAGCGAUGACAGUUUAAUGAUCUGCCCUAUCUGAUGGUUUAACCACAUAUCUGUUAUGGUGGCCUAACCACACUUAUCUAAUUCUGUUGGACUAUCACAUUAUUUCUCACAGCUAAGACUGCACAUUUCUGUCAGUGACAUACGAUCACUUAUUCGGUGUGUGGGGUUGGAUGAGUAUUUAUUACCCUAAUUGGUGCGGAGGGAUGGAUGAACGGAGAUGGUGUGUAGCGGAUGAGGGUAGGAUCUGUAUCUGUUUAAUAUGUUGCAUCGCGAGAUAUGCCAUGCUUUUGUAUCUGUUUGAUUCAUGAUUUCUGUAUGAUUAUUCACAACCUAAACUGUAUGAAUGAGAUAAG